GGGUUCAGGCAGAUGCCUUUGGUAUCUGCUCUUGAAAUUUUUUUCAUGCUAGGGUUUGCAUUUUCUGGUAACUAUGCGUAAAAUAGAAUAGUGAGGGUCCCAAGAGAGCAAAAAAAUCUAUCAGUAGUUGCAAAAGAUUAAAAAAGAAAGUGAUGGCUUCACUGCACUACUGAAAUGAUGUAAAGUAAAAAUAAUUGCGGACUUGAAUUUAUUUGGAGUCCGACUGUCUUUAGCUUUAUAUAAACUGCAAUCUCAGGCAUGAAGAGAACAUGUAACCAGAGAAAUUCUUUAGAGUCUCCUGAUCCUUCCCUACUCUAAAUCACCAUCGGCAUUCUCGUCUAACUUCAGCAAAGUUUGUUCCAGUCUCCAAUCUGUAUCAAGAGAACUUGUAACCAGAGAAAUUCUUAAGAGUUUCCUGAUCCGUCCCGUCUCUUCUCGUCUAAUUGCAGGAAAGCUUAUUCCAGUCCCCAUUCAAGACGGAGAGAGAUGAUCCUGCACACUUCUAAAUUUUCUGCAUUUGCUUGUUCAAUUCUGCUAAAUUAGAUUCAAGAUAUUCUAAAGAUUUAGGAAGAAAAAGUAUUUCAAGUAUUUACACAAAAUCUAAUAAGUUUAACAAACUCGAAGGAAUCAAUUUUGAACCAGAAGUACCAAAAGGAUCAAGGAUUUUAUCAAGAAGAUUCAGAAGAAUCAGUUUUACCAAUUUUAUCCCAAGCUUUAACUGAAGAUCAGAGAAAAGCUUUAGAGGAAGAGAGUCAAAGAAAGAAUAUAAUGGUCAUAAGUAAAGCUUUUGAACCAAAUAUGAAAGUUCUUAGAGAAGAUUAUAAGCAUAAGCUUAAUCAAAAGAAUAGAAAUGAAUUUUUUACAAAAUAUAAUAAGAAAGAAAGAGAAGAGAUAAAAGAAGAAUGGUUAGAAGAAAUGCAAAAAACUCGAAAGAAUAUUUUAUUUUUUAAAUAUUUAAAGGAUAGAUCAAUCCAUCCACCAACAGAUUCUUUCAAAAUUGGCUAUAAAGGAAAAAAAGUCAAAGCUUCACCAGAAGUUAAAGAAGGUAAUAAAGAGUUUGAUCAAAUAAUUAGUCAAAAUAACUAUACUCAUCAAUUGCUUCAAACAAUUGCAGGACAAUUAACAAGAAUUGAGAAUAUUUUAAAAGAAUCAAUGGGAGUUAAGUUCAAUAGUACUUUCAAAAAAGGAGAAUCAAGCAAAAAAAUUAAGAAGGAAGAACCAAUAUUUAAAUCAUUUUCUUUCCAAGAUAUAAACUUCAAAUUCGAAUCUCAAGGUGACAAAAAUAAGUUCAAUAGUACUUUCGAAAAAGGAGAAUCAAGCAAACAAAUUAAGAAGAAAGAAUCAAUAUUUAAACCAUUUUCUUUUCAAGAUAUUAACUUCGAAUUCGAAUCUCAAGGUGACAAAAAUAUGAGAGAAGUUUUGAAAAUCCUUAAUAAACGCAAAAAAAGAAGUUAAAAAUAUAAGUACUUAACAAAAGCAAAAGUUAUAAAAAAUUUAUAAAAUUAUAUUAAAAUUCAUAAAAAUUUAUUAAAUUAAAGAAUUCAAUUUUGCAUCUUUCAUCAUCGAAUCAAAUGGUGGGCUAAUUUUCCACAAGAAGAUUCAAUCAAAUCAAAAGUCUUGCAACUAUGGUUUCAAGAUACCACUAAUCCAGCCUCAGAUUCAGAGUUCUUCAAUUCAAAAAGAUUAUUUCAAGCUUCUUCAAUUCAAAAAGAUUAUUUCAAGCUCAUUUGGAUGCCGCCUCGGAUAUUCUCAAAGAGCCAUUAUCUUCUCUCGGAAGCAGCGAUGAUGGUGACUAUCUAUCUCUCUUGAAGUUUUUCAAGAUUCUCAGGACCUAUAUGAUUUUUACCCAAUGGCCUUUAUGUUCAAAUUGCCUUUCAUUUUCCUCAAAAGAAGUCUAGACUGCCAAAAGUGAUGAAGACACCUCACCGCACUCUCAAAAGUAGUCUCCAUUUUCAAAAGAAGAUUUGGCCUUUAUGCAAGCCCAUCAACAGUUCAAAUUCCCUUCCAAUUUACUCAAAAGAAGUCUAGACUGUCAAAAGUAAUAAAGACAUCUUUGGCCUUUAUGCAAGCCCAUCAACAGUUCAAAUUGCCUUCCAAUUUACUCAAAAGAAGUCUAGGUUGCCAAAAGUGAUAAAGAUUUGGCCUUUAUGCAAGCCAUCAACCGUUCAAAUUGCCUUCCAAUUUACUCAAAAGAAGUCUAGACUGCCAAAAGUGAUAAAGAUUUGGCCUCUAUGCAAGCCAUCAACAGUUCAAAUUGCCUUCCACUUUCCUCAAAAGAAGUCUAGACUGCCAAAAGUGAUAAAGACUUAGCCUUUAUGCAAGCCAUCAACAGUUCAAAUUGCCUUCCACUUUCCUCAAGAGAAGUCUAGACUGCCAAAAGUAAUGAAAGACAUCUCCCCGCACUCUCAAAAGUUGUCUCCAUUUUCGAAAGAAGAUUUGACAUCUCACCGUCUCGAUCCUUGAUCAAAAAGUUGUGUUAUUAUUAUUAUUAUUAUUUUUGAAUAUCACCGGGUGUCCACGCGUCCGUUUUAUGAUUAAUCUCACGCCCUGUGACAGCCGAUCCUACAGUCCACAAAGAUGGUAAAUUUCAGGAGCCAGCCGCAGGAAUCGAACCCAAGAUGCACUGAUUGGCUAAAGUUGUGUUAUUAUUGUAUCUUGUUUUCGUGUCUAUUUAAGUCAAAGUUUCCGUCAUUUGUAUUGAGUGAGUUCAGAGUGUAAGAAGAGUAUAACUGGUGUUCCAAUAUUGUAAGUUUUUAAUUAUUUUAAGUUUCAAAGUAUCUUGUAUUAAGUAUUUUGUAUUUCAGUUAUGUUUUAGUUGUUUCUUUAAAUAAAAUUCUGUUUAUAUUUUCUGGGCAAGAAA